rnacentral:rRNA from 1 species
UGUGAAAUUCCGGGGCUUAACUCCGGGCGUGCAGGCGAUACGGGCAUAACUUGAGUGCUGUAGGGGAGACUGGAAUUCCUGGUGUAGCGGUGAAAUGCGCAGAUAUCAGGAGGAACACCAAUGGCGAAGGCAGGUCUCUGGGCAGUAACUGACGCUGAGGAGCGAAAGCAUGGGUAGCGAACAGGAUUAGAUACCCUGGUAGUCCAUGCCGUAAACGGUGGGCGCUAGGUGUGGGGGUCUUCCACGACUUCUGUGCCGUAGCUAACGCAUUAAGCGCCCCGCCUGGGGAGUACGGCCGCAAGGCUAAAACUCAAAGGAAUUGACGGGGGCCCGCACAAGCGGCGGAGCAUGUGGAUUAAUUCGAUGCAACGCGAAGAACCUUACCUGGGCUUGACAUAUGCCGGAUCGGCGCAGAGAUGCGUUUUCCCUUGUGGUCGGUAUACAGGUGGUGCAUGGUUGUCGUCAGCUCGUGUCGUGAGAUGUUGGGUUAAGUCCCGCAACGAGCGCAACCCUUGUCUUGUGUUGCCAGCACGUUAUGGUGGGGACUCGCGAGAGACUGCCGGGGUUAACUCGGAGGAAGGUGGGGAUGACGUCAAAUCAUCAUGCCCCUUAUGUCCAGGGCUUCACACAUGCUACAAUGGUCGGUACAGUGGGUUGCUACACCGUGAGGUGGUGCUAAUCCCUUAAAGCCGGUCUCAGUUCGG